rnacentral:rRNA from 1 species
AUUGAACGCUGGCGGCAUGCCUUACACAUGCAAGUCGAACGGCAGCGGACCUUCGGGUGCCGGCGAGUGGCGAACGGGUGAGUAAUAUAUCGGAACGUACCUUUCAGUGGGGGAUAACGUAGCGAAAGUUACGCUAAUACCGCAUAUUCUGUGAGCAGGAAAGCAGGGGAUCGCAAGACCUUGCGCUGAUUGAGCGGCCGAUAUCAGAUUAGCUAGUUGGUGAGGUAAAGGCUCACCAAGGCGACGAUCUGUAGCGGGUCUGAGAGGAUGAUCCGCCACACUGGAACUGAGACACGGUCCAGACUCCUACGGGAGGCAGCAGUGGGGAAUUUUGGACAAUGGGCGCAGGCCUGAUCCAGCCAUGCCGCGUGAGUGAAGAAGGCCUCGGUUGUAAG